rnacentral:rRNA from 1 species
UACGGGGGGAGCAAGCGUUGUUCGGAUUUACUGGGCGUAAAGGGCGCGUAGGCGGCCACCGCAAGUCGACUGUGAAAUCUCCGGGCUUAACCCGGAAAGGUCAGCCGAUACUGCGGGGCUAGAGUGCAGAAGGGGCAACUGGAAUUCUCGGUGUAGCGGUGAAAUGCGUAGAUAUCGAGAGGAACACCGGUGGCGAAGGCGGGUCUCUGGGCCGAUACUGACGCUGGAGGAGCGAAAGCGUGGGGAGCAAACAGG